CCUGUGGUGUGGCAUGGAUCUGAGAACAUGACAUUGGCGCUGAGCUGUGAGGAGGGCAGAGCUCUGAAGUUGAGGAUUGAUUCUCCAACUCAGCCACGUCCAAGGUGUUGGACUCCCUGCAGUUAUGGCACAGACUCGAUGCUGAGGAAAUGACUUCCUGCUUUGCUGACACUGUCUGCAUUGUGAUGCUGGCACCUCUUCUUCAUUGUUGCUGCUCUCUUGGUAUCUACAGGAGACCAAGAUCCCACUAGUCUAGAUGACCUGUACACAGUAAGAGAGCUGGUUUUAAUGUGAAGACCUUACAGUCAACACAGAGAAAACAGACAAAGACAUCUGUAUUUUUUACUUUCCCUUGGAGGACAGGAGAGUAACAUGGAGGAAGGAAGAUUCCCUGAUUCUGGUGAGUUUUGGGAAUGGGUGUAAUGAUUUUUGGCCAGAGGCCAAGAAGCCCAUGUCAUUCACAGGCACAACUCGCAUUAGUUUCCUUAGCAGCUCCUUUGUUUGCUAGCACAUCAUCAAGGUCACAGGGAGAGGCUCAUCAGGCACUGUUGGCCGGCCUUGCAGGCAGCUUUGAAUUUUAGAACCAAAUCAUGAACCAUAGAGAACCGACUGGCAGAAGACCAUGGACAGGACUUUCUCUUUGCAGCCUGUGCUGCUGCUUUCACAUCAAACUGCUCGUGUCCUGUAGGUUAAUAUUGUUUCCCAUGAGGAAAACUGUGCUAAAAUGCCAGUUUGAAAGGCAGGACUGUCAUGAAGAGCUGAGCACCUUCCUCAUGAAAGUGUCCUUGACCUAUGAAAGCCCGGUGGGCUGGAGCAGCUGCAAGUCUGGCAGAGCUGUGCUGUCUGCAGGGCAGCUGCACCACUUUUUCCUGGAUGAGGGCCUGCUGCCCACCCCAUCCCAGUUCUGCCUCAGCCUCCCUCUCUGUUCCCACACAAGGAGCAGAGCAUGCGGGUGGUGUCUCUGGCUUUCCAGUCCCUGCUUUAUCCAAGAGGAUGUUUGUUUCCUCAAAGGAAAGCACAGUCGGAUGUCACGCUACAGGAAAAAUAAAACAGAUCUGCACGGGGCCAAACGAGUGUCUUUUACAGUUCUAUGUAGAGAUUUCAUCAGAGCUUAACUUGGCUCAAACCAAACUCUCAUUUUGACCAUCACUAGUGGAUGAGCUCAGGGGACUAAUGCAGGGAGAGGAAAAUGCUCAGUUUGUUCGUGAUGUGUGUCACCUGAGGCAGUCCUAGUUGGACUAAGCAUUCAUUACCCUGUAUUGAAAAUGGAGUGCUGUCACUGACCACACAGAGCUCUGGGGAUGGAGAAAUAUGAUAUGAAUGCUCAGGACACUGCGCACCCCUAGUGACCUGCUAUUGGAUGGCGCCACGUGGUAUCACUGCAUGACACUUGUCCAACACAUUUGUCGCUCCAAUGAAACUCUGUUCCUCCAAAACACCACAUGUGCUGAAGUGGCACAGGUUGUCCUGCAUGACACUGAGAAUCAGAGAUUCAUUAGCUAGAUUAGGAAGGUGGGCUUUUAGGUGCAGAGAGACCUUACCAUCCCCUCUUGCUGAUGGCCUUGGGACUGAUUCGGAGAAUCACUUACUAAAGCAUCUUGACUCCGAAUCUCCCUGUUGUCACUUGCAGUUGCUUGAUCUGUAUCUAUUACAGAAUGGCUAAUAGUGUCCCUUUCAGCCUGAGAUUGUCCUAUUUCCUUUUGGUUUCCCCUUUUGACAUCACAAACAUUUUUGGCCAUGUACAUUUUUUUUUCAGUUGAGGUGUUUCUCAUAACAAAAAACUUUCUAAGUGUGGUUAUCAUUUUCCUUUAUUGGGAAUAUUCAUUCAGCAGUUACCUUUGCCAAAGAUGAUGUAGUGCAAGCAGGUGUUACAGCCUUACUUUCAGCUGUACGGAAAACGCGUUUCAUUUCUGACAGCAAUCCUGCUGUUUCAGUAGAAGGCUACCCCAUGCAGAGAUAGGCUGGAUAGAUCAAACUGUACUAAUUGCAGAGUGAUUUGAAAAUCUGUUCCACUUGCAAACAGAAUUAAUCCAAUGCUUUGUUACAUUGAAUUAACAAAGGUCACAUUUCAUAAAUAUUACAGAGCAAUUUUCAUAGAUCAAGCAGGAGGCUAGUUAAUGAUUAGAGCAAUAAGGUCCUGACGUAAAUCCAUAAAGAAUAAGGGACAUAUUUUUACAGCUUCUCUUAUUAUUGCCAUAGGAAUCUUAACCGAAGGCAGCGGAAAUUAUUAGGGUCCAACAUAGCUUUAAAAUCUAGCACAUCAAACUAUACCUAGUCUUCUCAAUGACUUUUGUAUUAGAAACUAGAGAAUUUAAGGUGUUUUAGAAUAUCAGUCAGUUUCUCAACAGAAAAUAAGCAUGUUGGUUUCAAUCCAGUUCUACUGGAUUCUGCAGUGAAGAAACCAGCCUCAAUAACUGGUGGGAAUUAGCAGAACUCAGGCUAAGCAGGCAUUCAAUUCUUCCCCUUGCUCGAGCAGCUGGAUCAGGGCAGAAAACUGUAGUAAAGAUCUAGUUCUGCUCGUAGGACUUACCCAAG